rnacentral:rRNA from 1 species
CGACCGGCGCACGGGUGAGUAACACGUAUCCAACCUGCCGAUGACUCGGGGAUAGCCUUUCGAAAGAAAGAUUAAUACCCGAUGGCAUAGUUCUUCCGCAUGGUAGAACUAUUAAAGAAUUUCGGUCAUCGAUGGGGAUGCGUUCCAUUAGCUUGUUGGCGGGGUAACGGCCCACCAAGGCAUCGAUCAGUAGCCGGACUGAGAGGUUGGCCGGCCACAUUGGGACUGAGACACGGCCCAGACUCCUACGGAAGGCAGCAG